rnacentral:rRNA from 1 species
CGAGGGGUAACAGGUUCCUUCGGGAAUGCUGACGACCGGCGCACGGGUGAGUAACGCGUAUGCAACCUUCCUGUAUCUGGAGGAUAGGCCUUGGAAACGAGGAUUAAUACUGCGUAACAUUAUAUUAUCGCAUGGUAAAACAAUCAAAUCUACGGAGGAUACAGAUGGGCAUGCGUGCCAUUAGCUAGAUGGUAAGGUAAGGGCUUACCAUGGCGACGAUGGCUAGGGGUUCUGCAAGGAAGAUCCCCCACACUGGUACUGAGACACGGACCGGACUCCUACGGGAGGCAGCAGUGAGGAAUAUUGGUCAAUGGAGGCAACUCUGAACCAGCCAAGCCGCGUGAAGGAAGACUGUUCUAUGAAUUGUAAACUUCUUUCGUGACAGAGUAAAGAUAGCUACGCGUAGUUAUUUGCAAGUAUGUCAUGAAUAAGCAUCGGCUAACUCCGUGCCAGCAGCCGCGGUAAUACGGAGGAUGCAGGCGUUAUCCGGAUUUAUUAGGUUUAAAGGGUGUUCAGGCUGUCUGGUAAGUCAGAGGUGAAAGUCGGUUGCUUAACGAUCGAAUUGCCUUUGAAACUGUCAGACUUGAGUAUGGAUGCGGUAGGCGGAAUGUGUAGUGUAGCGGUGAAAUGCAUAGAUAUUACACAGAACACCGAUUGCGAAAGCAGCUUACCAAACCAGCACUGACGCUGAAGCACGAAAGCGUGGGUAGCGAACAGGAUUAGAUACCCUGGUAGUCCACGCAGUAAACGAUGCUCACUCGCUGUUGGCAAUAGAUCGUCAGCGGCUAAGGGAAACCGAUAAGUGAGCCACCUGGGGAGUACGAUCGCAAGAUUGAAACUCAAAGGAAUUGACGGGGGCCCGCACAAGCGGUGGAACAUGUGGUUUAAUUCGAUGAUACGCGAGGAACCUUACCUGGGCUUAAAUGUACGAUGCAUAAGUGUGAAAGCACUUUUUCCUUCGGGACUUUGUACAAGGUGCUGCAUGGUUGUCGUCAGCUCGUGCCGUGAGGUGUCGGGUUAAGUCCCAUAACGAGCGCAACCCCUAUUGUUAGUUACCAGCGCGUAAAGGCGGGGACUCUAGCGAAACUGCCGGUGUAAACCGCGAGGAAGGUGGGGAUGACGUCAAAUCAGCACGGCCCUUAUGUCCAGGGCUACACACGUGUUAC